GUCUAGAGGCUUCGGCAAUGCCCGCAAGGGUGACCGAGCGACGCCGCGUGUGUGAUGAAGCCCUUCGGGGUGUAAAGCACUGUCAGUAGGGAAGAAGGUCCGGGAGGCGUCCCUCUCGGACUUGACGGUACCUGCAGAGGAAGCGCCGGCUAACUCCGUGCCAGCAGCCGCGGUAAUACGGAGGGCGCAAGCGUUGUUCGGAUUCAUUGGGCGUAAAGGGCGCGUAGGCGGGCGAGUAAGUCUGGUGUGAAAUCUUCACCGCUCAACGGGAAGAAGCCAUUGGAUACUGCUCGUCUUGAGGCCGGUAGAGGAAUGCGGAAUUCCUGGUGUAGCGGUGGAAUGCGUAGAUAUCAGGAAGAAUACCGAUUGCGAAGGCGGCAUUCUGGGCCGGCCCUGACGCUGAGGCGCGAAAGCCAGGGGAGCAAACGGGAUUAGAAACCCGAGUAGUCC
rnacentral:rRNA from 1 species